GUUUGGACUGUGAAGUGUAAAAUUUCAUACCAUAAACUCUUCAGUCCCACUGGAGGCACAGAACACUCACAUCCUCUCCAUAUGCUGGACAGUCUUCCCAGGCAGCUCACUUGAAAAGGAUGCCAUUGGCACUUCUGCAAAGUGGUCAUCCGAAAGCUUUCACUUUGCUGGUGAGGAGCACGUCCGGAUUCAACACAGUUCCAUUCAAAAUCCCAGCAGGACGGCACGUCUCCAAAUCUGAACAGACACUUCACCAAAUUUAAUAUAAGAUGACAAAUAGCCACAUGAAAAGAUGCUGAACAUCAUGGUCAUCAGGGAAACACAUAUUAAAAGCUCAGUGAGGUCCUACCUCAUGCCUACUGGAAGGGUGAAAAUUUUGACAGCCGGCCAUACCAAGUUUUAGCAAGGAUGUGGAGCAAGUGGAACUCUCACACUUCUGAUGGGAAUAUAAAUAAUAAAAACCACUUUGGAAAACAGUUUGACAGUUUCUUAAAAAUUUAAAAACACAAUACCAUAUGACCCAGGGGUUUUAAUCCUAGAUAUUUAUCUAAGAGAAAUAAAAGGAUAUGUCCACAAAAAGACAUAUGCCACUACACACCUAUUUAGAAAGGCCCAAGUUCAGAACACUGACAACACCAAAUGUGGCGAUGAUGUGGAACAAUGGGCCUCUCAUUCAUUGCUAGUGGGAAUGCAAAAUGGCGCACCACUUUGAAAGACAGUUUGGCAGUUUCUUACAAAACUAAGCAUACUCUUACUACAUGAUCCAGCAAUCAUGCUCCUUGGUAUUUACCCAAGUGAAUUGAAAACUUAUGUCCAUAAAAUAACCUGCACACAGAUGUUUACAGAAGCUUUAUUCGUAAUUGCCCAAACUUGGAAGCAACCAAGGUGUCCUUCAGUAGGUGAAUGGAUAAAUAAACUGUGGUGCAUCCAGACAAUGGAAUAUGAUUCGCAUGAAAAAGAAAUGAGCUAUCAAGCCCUGAAAAUACAUGGAGGAACCUUAAAUGCAUAUUACUAAGUGAAAGAAACCAAUCUAAAAGACUACAUACUGUGUGAUUCCAACUAUAUGACAUUCUGGAAAAGGCAAAACUACAGAGACAGUAAAAAGGUCUAUGUUGCUAGGGGUUGGGGGAAGGAGGGAUAGACGAAUAGGCAGAGCACAGAGGCAUUUUAGGGCGGUCAAAAUACUCUACAUGAUGCUUUAAUGAUGGAUGUAUCUGUCAUUAUACAUUUGUUCAAAUCCGUAGAAUGUAUAACACCACGAAUGAACUCUAACAUAAGCUCUGGACUUUGGGUCAUACUGUUGAAUCAAUGUAGGUUCACCAAUGGUAACAAAUGUACCACUCUGCUGGGAGAUGUUGACAGUGUGGCAAGAUGUGCACGUGGGUGGUAGGGGUAUAUGGGAACUCUGUAAUUUCCAUUCAAUUUUGCUGUGAUUCUAAAACCACUCUAAAAAAAGUCUGUUUCUAAAAAAAGACUUGUACACAAAUGUUCUUAUCAGAUUUAUUUGUAAUAGUCAAAAACUGGGAACAACUCAAAUGUCCAUCGAGAAGUGAGUGAACAAAUUGUGGUAAGAAUUAUUGAUAUAUAUACAACAUGAUGAGUCUCAAAAUAACUAUGCUAAUUGAAAUACAAUAGAAAAA
ensembl:lncRNA